GACGGUGUUUGUAUCUUGCCCCUCACUGAUCUUGUCUGAUCUUGGAAGGUAAUCAGAGUUGACUAUGAUUUGCACUUGGAUGGGAGAUCACCUAGNAAUGCCAGGGACUGUAGGCU
rnacentral:rRNA from 1 species